rnacentral:lncRNA from 1 species
GGGCUCUAUCUGCUGGCCGCUGGGUCACUCACACCGUCCACAGGGUUUAGAUGCAGCAGUAAAUUCGUCAACUGCAGCUUUCUCUGUCUCUGAAAACACUGGGAUCAGACAGGAGUUCUACUCAGGAACCAAGGACGACUCCUCUGGAUAGACACUCCCUUCCCACAGCCCCUCUGUGGCAUCACAGGCAGGGUGCACAGCGGGCAGAGCCAGGUGGAGAUGGAGAUGCUGAGCAGCUGGCGAUGAGCUCUGGGCUUCACAGACUGCACGUGUGAAUGCCUGCUGCUGAGCGCUGGCUACUGGCUCUGCUUAAGAGCAUCUGCAUUCUUCUAAGGAAAGACCUCAGUCUGAACCUUCCCUCUGUGGCCAGGAUGGAAGUGAUUCCAUGGAGCUCCUUUGGAUGAACCAGUGGCGGGCCUGUACCUCCCCCUGGAGAGCCCUGCCACCUGUCAGGUUGCCAGCAGCGGCCACUGCUCUAUAGCCCAAGGCGCCGUGACUGGGGAUGCCCUCAAGUCUCAAUUAGAAGAAAAAUAGUGCCUGGGAGAAAACUCAAGAUAAAUACGACUUGUCUUGCUUUAAUUAAGUUUGAUCGGAGGUUAUUCUGCAUCCAGGGAAGUCAGAGCCAAUUUCACAGUGUGGUUUGCAAACCAAAGGAAAGUCUUGUAAGACUUGGGGAGAACACCUGUCCCUAAGUGUGGCCCGGGGUUAACUGAAGCGUACCUUCAGGCAGAUCACACAGAGAGCAAGUCGCCAGCCGCUCUUCAGGGCUCAGACUCCAUGUUGGAGAAAACGGUCUUUUGGUCCAGCUCCUGGUGUUUCCAAUGCCCUUGCCUUACAUGGGCAGCACUCCUGGGUGGGUCCAGUUCUCCAGGAAAGUGGCCCCAGGUGCGAGGUCCAGGUCUGAGUCCAGAUCCUCUCCAGCUGUCCAGGCCCUGCCCCUUCAGCUGGAGUGUGGGUAUCAGGGGACACUGAAACCUGGGCAGUGGACCAGAGAAGGAGCCAUGGUGAGGAUCAGGGCAAGCAGAAGGACACGGGAGUCUCUGGAGCGUGUUUUUGGGACAGUGGCCAAUUCCAACCUAUAACUGGUAUGCGAGUGCAGUUAAGGACGGAGGCCAUGGUCUUCACUUGUCAGAGCUGAUGAAAGUGAAGGUUUUCUCCACACACAAAAAUGAAUGAGCAGCACUUUUGCAUGCAACUUGAGAGGGCACCGAGAGCAGCUGACAUCCUGAGGUUGGGCAGAGCCACCUGCGGAACCCGUCAGGCUGCGGGAUGGAGUGGGCACCCACCCUGGCCAGGCGUGUCAGAGCCCUUCACCUGUGUGUCCUCUGCAGCUCGCACAGCAACCCUCCGUCACCCCAGUGUCCUGCCCCAUUCCUUGUGUGGGAUUGCACUGGCCGGGUGUCUACUGGUCAGCUCCUUCAUGGAACAGGAGGCUGAGUGCACCUUCUGGUCCUCCGUAUGCUCCCAGACCAAACUAAUCUCACGGAGCCUCAGCAUCCUCAACCUAUGAUGUGGGGACACUGAAGGUGUCCACUUGGGGGGCUGAAUCGUGAGGCUUAGUGUGUGUUGUGAGGCUUUAGGCCAAUGUUUGUCUGAUGGCAAAAACAAAUAGAAUGCUGGAGUAUUCGCUGCCUGAACUUCCUGGAAAUUUAGAAGAAGCUUUUCAAGUACAGUUGGACUGUGUGUCAGGUCAGGUCAGGCGGCCGAUGUCCAGUUGAUGGCCGGCUUGGGCGUCAUUUCACAUGGAGUCUCCCAUGCAGAACAUGUGCAUCCUCCCGAUGCUUAGAUGGGGCUCACCAGGUCACUUCCUGGGGUUCUGCUCUUCUUCCAUGUCACUACGAUUAGGAUCUUUUGUGCACUGUACCUCAGGCUGACCCCUGCCGAUGUGGCCACAUCUGACCCUGUGACUGGACACUCUCCUGCACAUAUUUAGACUUUGGGAUUUCCUGUAAAUUCUAAUCAUUUUUCCUUUAAUCACCUUGAUUUUUUGAUAUCAUAACAUCAGAAAUGUUUUCCUUCUUUCCUUUCCAACACCGUCACUUUGGUUUCUGAGCCAGGGAGUUCACAUACUUUAAUUGUCAAAUCAGGACAAGUGGUAAAAUUAAAGGGAUGGAGCCACCUGCCUGGGGUCAGAACUGUAAGAAGGGCCCCUGUGGGACAGGAGUUGUUCGGCCCUGGGGUGAGCACCUUGGAGGGGGUUCUGGGCACCAGGUGGGUUGUGACAGUGUGCUGGUGGGCCGGUGGUGUUCCUGGUUGUGUUUUGGCAUCAAAUGCCAUGUCUGCAGUGGUGUUCUGACUGAGAUGGCCACACGAGGAGGCACUGAUGACACUUACACACACACAAGUGUCCAAGCGUGUGUGUGUGUGUUCACACACAUGCACACACAGGUGUGCAAUGGACAUGUGUAAAGUUGAAAAUCUUGCCUUAAUUCACUGAGGCUUUUUGAAAAAAAAAUCAAGAGCAUAAAGCCAAUUGAUUAUCGACCAUGGUACCAAACACAUGGGAGAAAGGAAGCCUCUUCAGCAAACGAAGCCGGAGAGCAGAUGCUGCACACAGAACAUGGAAACACGCCCUUGUCUUUAACUCCCCACAGAAGGAAGCUCAAAAUGGAUCAAAGACCUGAAGUCAGACCUGGAACUAUGAAUCUACUGGAAGAAAAGAGAAAACACUUCAAGACAUUGCAGUACACCAUGCUUUUCUGGCCAGGACUUCAGAAGUACAGACACAGGAGCUCAUGUUGGCAAAAGGGAUGACAGCAGACUGUCCUAGAAGCUUCUGCACAGCAGAGUAAGAAGAGACAAGAAAAGACAACCUUCAGAACAGGGGAACAUGUCUGCUAACUAUUCCUCUGACAGGUGAAUUUCCGGAACACACAAGAAGCUCAGAAAUCUCAAAACAAAAACAGCAAAUGAUCCAAUUUGAAAAUGAGCAAAUAACAUGAAUAAUCACUUCACAAAAUAAGACAUUCAAAUGGCCAAAAAUUUAGGAAAAAAUCCUCAACUUCAUUAGCCAUUAGGAAAAAGCAAAUCAAAAAUCAUAAGACAUCAUCGCUGUAGUAGAGUUUAAGGUCUGGUAUUGUAAUACCUCCUGCUUUACUGUUCUUGCUAAGGAUUGCUUUAGCUAUUCUGGGUCUCUUAGUUUUCAAAAUAAAUUUCAUGACUGCUUUUUCUAUUUCUAUGAAGAAUGUCAUUCGGAUUUUAGUAGGAAUUGCAUUAAAUCUGUAUAACACUUUGGGUAGUAUGGCCAUUUUGACAAUAUUAAUUCUGCCUAUCCAGGAGCAUGGGAGAUCUUUCCAUCUUCUGAGAUUUUCUUCAAUUUCUUUCUUUAGUGUUUUGUAGUUUUCAUUGUAGAGGUCUUUCACCUGUUUUGUUAGAUUGAUUCCCAAGAAUUUUAUUUUAUUUUAUUUUUUUGAGGCUAUUGUGAAUGGAGUAGCUUUCUUAAUUUCUCUUUCAGUGGAUUCAUCGCUGAUGUAUAGGAAUGCGUUUGAUUUAUGGGUGUUGAUUUUAUUUAUAUCCUGCUACUUUGCUGAAUUCAUUUAUUAGUUCUAGAAGUUUUCUGGUAGAAUUUUUUUUGAUCUUCUAGAUAUAAAAUCAUGUCAUCAGCAAAUAGUGAAAGUUUGAGUUCUUCUUUACCUAUUUGUAUCCCUUUAAUUUUCUUUUGUUUAAUUGCUCUGGCUAGACUUUCAAGGACUAUAUUGAAUAGAAGUGGUAAAAGAGGACAUUCUUGUCUUGUUCCAGUUUUUAGAGGGAAUGCUAUCAAUUUUUCUCCAUUUAGAAUGAUGUUGGCCUUGGGUUUAGCAUAGAUAGCUUUUAAAUGUUGAGGUAUGUUCCUACUAUCCCUAGUUUUUCUAGUGUUUUGAACAUGAAGGUGUGCUAUAUUUUGUCACAUGUUUUUUCUGCAUCUAUUGAGAUGAUCAUAUGAUUCUUUUUUUUAAGUCUAUUAAUAUGAUAAAUUACGUUUAUUGAUUUCUGUAUGUUGAACCAACCCUGCAUCCCUGGGAUGAAUCCCACUUGAUUGUGGUGCAGUAUCUUUUAAAUAUGUUUUUGUAUGCAAUUUGCCAGAAUUUUAUUGAGAAAUUUUGCAUCUAUGUUCAUCAUAAAUAUUGGUCUGAAGUUUUUUUUUUUUUUUUCCUUGAUGGGUCUUUAUCUUGUUUUGGUAUCAGGGUGACACUAGCUCAUAGAUAAGUUUGGAAGGGUUCCCUCUUUUUCUAUUUCAUGGAAUAUUUUGAGGAGUAUUGAUGUUAAUUCUUCUUUGGAAGUAUUAUAGAACUCGGCUGAGAAUCCAUCUGGUCCUAGACUUUUCUUGGUUGAUAGGCUUUUGAUGGUGUUUUCUAUUUCAUUACUUGAAAUUGAUCUAUUUAAAUCAUGUAUGACCUCACCAUUCAGUUUAAAGAAGAGUGAAAUUUUGGCAUUUACAAGUAAAUGGUUGGAGUUGGAAAAUAUUAUGCUAAGCAAACUAAUCCACUUCCACAAAACCAAAGGCUGAAUGUUUUUUCUAAUAUAAAGUUUGCUAAUUCACAGUAAGGUGGGAGGCACAAGGGAUGAAUAGCGUUACCUUAGAUUAGGCAGAAGAAAGUGAUGGGAGGGGAGGGGAGGGGAGGUGGGGAUAGGAAAGGUAGUAGAAUGAAACAGACAUUAUUACUGUAUGUAUGUAUGUGACUGCAUGACCAAUGUGAUUCUGCAACACAUACACUCGGAAAAAUGAAACUAUAUCCCAUCUAUGUAUGACAUGUCAAAGUGCAUCCAUGCAUUCUACUGUCAUGUAUAAGUAAUUAAAACAAAUAAAAAAAGAUUAAAUGGGGGGCAUAAGAGUGUGGGAGCUGUUCAAUAUUACUGUGUCCUCAUAAGACGAGGACAGACAGCAAUGAAUGCAUGUACACAGAGACAAGACAGAGACAAGAGUGCCGUCUGCCGGGAGAGAGGCUCCAAGGGGAAGCAUUCUGAUGCUCGGCUCUUGGUCUCCCAACACGCAAAACAAAGAGGAAAUAAAUUUCCACUGUUUUUUAAGAAAAGAAAAAAAAAAUGAUGUCAUUCCAGUUAGAGUCGAUAGCAUAAAAAAAUAAAAAUGCUGGCAAGGAUGUGGAGGAAAGGAACCCAUAGCCUGCAGGCGUGAAUGUGAAUCAGGGCAGACACUGUGGUGAACAGUGUGGAGAUUCCUCAAAAACCUAAGCUGUGUCUGCCAUGUGACCCAGCUACCCACUCCUGGGUGGCCAUCCAGGAGACAUGAAGUCUGCACAGCAGAGGGACACCUGCAUGUCUGCCUUUCCUGCAUCUCUACUCACAGUUGCCCAGACAUGGACUCGGCCUAGGUGCCCACCCACAGGUGAGUGGAUAAAGAAAACGUGUGCAUUGUGUACCACGGAGCAUGCCUCAGCCAUACAGAAGAAUGAAGUUCUGACAUUUGCGGGAACUUGGAUGGACCUGAAGGACAUUAAGUGAAAUAAGGCAGACACAGAAAACCAGCCCCGCACCUUCUUUCUCCUAUGUGGAUGCUAAAUGUGUCAACUUGAACGUAGAGGAGUAGUGAUCUCCCGAGGCUGGGAGGGGUGGGAUGGGACAGAGGGAGGGCGGGUAGCAGGCGCUGGAGCAGGUCGGACUGUAGGAGCGAGCCCUGGUUCCUGCAGCACAGUGUGGCUCCCUGGCUCACAACAGCCUGUUGUAUUUGAGGAAAGCUUGGCAGCUGCAUGCAUGAAGGACUGAUAAGCACAGGAAAUGCUUUUACCUCCAUUUGACCAACACACAUCGUAUACAUGUGAUGAAUUUCCAUUGUGCCCCAUAUUUAUGUACAAUAUCGUCAAUCAAAAUUUUGAAAAAAUUUUGAGAUAAAAAUACUAAUCACCUGAUUUGAUCAUUACACAUUAUAUAUACAUGUGGACUUAUCACACUGUACCCCAUAGUUAGGC